rnacentral:rRNA from 1 species
AGCAGCCGCGGUAAUUCCAGCUCCAAUAGCGUAUAUUAAAGUUGUUGCAGUUAAAAAGCUCGUAGUUGAAUUUCGGGAUCAAUUAAUUGGUCGUGCCUCUGGUACGUACUGAUUUUAUUGGUUUCUCCCUUCUGACGAACCAUGAUGUCAUUAAUUUGGUGUCGUGAAGAAUCAGGACUGUUACUUUGAAAAAAUUAGAGUGUUUAAAGCAAGCUAACGCUUGAAUACAUUAGCAUGGAAUAAUGAAAUAGGACGUUUGAUCCUAUUUUGUUGGUUUCUAGGAUCGACGUAAUGAUUAAUAGGGAUAGUUGGGGGCAUUAGUAUUCAAUUGUCAGAGGUGAAAUUCUUGGAUUUAUUGAAGACUAACUACUGCGAAAGCAUUUGCCAAGGAUGUUUUCAUUAAUCAAGAACGAAAGUUAGGGGAUCGAAAAUGAUCAGAUACCGUCGUAGUCUUAACCAUAAACUAUGCCGACUAGGGAUCGGAUGAUGUUAAUUUUUUAAUGACUCA